CCUACGUGGAGCAGCAGUGAGGAAUAUUGGUCAAUGGGCGCGAGCCUGAACCAGCCAAGUAGCGUGAAGGAUGACUGCCCUACGGGUUGUAAACUUCUUUUAUAAAGGAAUAAAGUGAGGCACGUGUGCCUUUUUGUAUGUACUUUAUGAAUAAGGAUCGGCUAACUCCGUGCCAGCAGCCGCGGUAAUACGGAGGAUCCGAGCGUUAUCCGGAUUUAUUGGGUUUAAAGGGAGCGUAGAUGGGUUGUUAAGUCAGUUGUGAAAGUUUGCGGCUCAACCAUAAAAUUUCAAUUGAUACUGGCAGUCUUGAGUACAGUUGAGGUAGGCGGAAUUCGUGGUGUAGCGGUGAAAUGCUUAGAUAUCACGAAGAACUCCGAUUGCGAAGGCAGCUUACUAAACUGCCACUGACAUUGAUGCUCGAAAGUGUGGGUAUCAAACAGGAUUAGAUACCCCAGUAGUC
rnacentral:rRNA from 1 species